rnacentral:rRNA from 1 species
GACGAACGCUGGCGGCGUGCUUAACACAUGCAAGUCGAACGGAAAGGCCCUGCUUUUGUGGGGUGCUCGAGUGGCGAACGGGUGAGUAACACGUGAGUAACCUGCCCUUGACUUUGGGAUAACUUCAGGAAACUGGGGCUAAUACCGGAUAGGAGCUCCUGCUGCAUGGUGGGGGUUGGAAAGUUUCGGCGGUUGGGGAUGGACUCGCGGCUUAUCAGCUUGUUGGUGGGGUAGUGGCUUACCAAGGCUUUGACGGGUAGCCGGCCUGAGAGGGUGACCGGCCACAUUGGGACUGAGAUACGGCCCAGACUCCUACGGGAGGCAGCAGUGGGGAAUAUUGCACAAUGGGCGGAAGCCUGAUGCAGCAACGCCGCGUGCGGGAUGACGGCCUUCGGGUUGUAAACCGCUUUCGCCUGUGACGAAGCGUGAGUGACGGUAAUGGGUAAAGAAGCACCGGCUAACUACGUGCCAGCAGCCGCGGUGAUACGUAGGGUGCGAGCGUUGUCCGGAUUUAUUGGGCGCAAAGGGCUCGUAGGUGGUUGAUCGCGUCGGAAGUGUAAUCUUGGGGCUUAACCCUGAGCGUGCUUUCGAUACGGGUUGACUUGAGGAAGGUAGGGGAGAAUGGAAUUCCUGGUGGAGCGGUGGAAUGCGCAGAUAUCAGGAGGAACACCAGUGGCGAAGGCGGUUCUCUGGGCCUUUCCUGACGCUGAGGAGCGAAAGCGUGGGGAGCGAACAGGCUUAGAUACCCUGGUAGUCCACGCUGUAAACGGUGGGUACUAGGUGUGGGGUCCAUUCUACGGGUUCCGUGCCGUAGCUAACGCUUUAAGUACCCCGCCUGGGGAGUACGGCCGCAAGGCUAAAACUCAAAGGAAUUGACGGGGCCCCGCACAAGCGGCGGAGCAUGCGGAUUAAUUCGAUGCAACGCGUAGAACCUUACCUGGGUUUGACAUGGAUCGGGAGCGCUCAGAGAUGGGUGUGCCUCUUUUGGGGUCGGUUCACAGGUGGUGCAUGGCUGUCGUCAGCUCGUGUCGUGAGAUGUUGGGUUAAGUCCCGCAACGAGCGCAACCCUUGUUCACUGUUGCCAGCACGUUAUGGUGGGGACUCAGUGGAGACCGCCGGGGUCAACUCGGAGGAAGGUGGGGAUGACGUCAAGUCAUCAUGCCCCUUAUGUCCAGGGCUUCACGCAUGCUACAAUGGCUGGUACAGAGAGUGGCGAGCCUGUGAGGGUGAGCGAAUCUCGGAAAGCCGGUCUCAGUUCGGAUUGGGGUCUGCAACUCGACCUCAUGAAGUCGGAGUCGCUAGUAAUCGCAGAUCAGCAACGCUGCGGUGAAUACGUUCCCGGGGCU